ACACUGGCAGCAACACUGUUGUGAUAGGUAUAAACUUACAAUAUAACAAAGCUACCGCGGUAGAAUCGCCGUGUGAAGUUGAAAACCCGGAGAAUAAAUAUCGAAGGAAGGGCUUUAGAGAUCGCCCAGCUCCGCUCGGUUACCGGUUACCAGUUGUUGUACUGUGAACUAAAGUUACAUGAGAGAACGAGUCAGUCCUCGUUCUAGAACACGCUAGAAGAUCCGCUUCUCCGCCUACUACACGCGCGCGAGCCGGGACGAGCACCACGUUUUACCGGCUGAGGCUCUACAGAAACGGGCGGUGUUGAAUUUCAGUUUUAAUUCUCCGGACUGAGGCGGCUGUUGAUCUCCGCUGCUGCUAUUUGAAGAUCAGGAUGGGUGAUUGUAACCCAAUCCAGUGUUGCCAGGUCCAGCAAGAAAAGCAAGCAACCUGUACUGACAAGUGCCGUCCCAUGUUGGUCUGAAUCGGCCCCCGCUGUAAGUGUCCCUCGACUGUUUCCGUAGUUUGGCCCCACAUAAACGCCUUCCUUUCCGAGAAGCCGGACGUGAGUGCUGAAGGUCGUGAAUUAAACGGUAAAUAUCGAGCUUGCUAUACGCUUACAUCAAAACUUAUAUGCUGAAAUCUGUAUAAAAUAUAAUAAUACAACUGUUAUGUUUUUAACACUAUAUAAGAGUUGAUUUAUUUUAGCUAAACGUGCCUCGUUUUUGAAGUACGUCUUGCCGCUUGUCGUCAUUGCUAGCAAACUUAGUGUUAGCUAGACAGGUAUUUAUGUCUCAGAAUAUACUCACCUGCUGAUACGAGGCUGUUAUGUAUCUAUAAUGUUAUAUUUAAAAUAAAAGAAAGCUCUUCUUUGCGUUUGCA
ensembl:lncRNA